GAAGCCUGGCAUGCUGCAGUCCAUGGGGUCACAAAGAGUCAAAUGCGACUGAGUGGCAGGACAAUAAGAACCCCUGCCAACAUCCUGACUGUGACUUCAGGAAACCCUGAGCUAGGACCACCCAGCUUAGCCACUCCCAGUUUCCUGACUCUCAGAAACUGCUCCCUCAGAAACAUGGAUUUACACAUGCAAACUCUGCCUCCAAAGAAGGAUAAAUUGUGUUCCUAAGUUAAAAGGAUUUUGGCCCAAGCAACUGAAAGAAUGAAGGUGGAUUCUUGACCAUCUGAGCCACCAGGGAUGCCCACAACCAACCAAAGACGUCCAAUGGCUUUUAGAUAUACAAGUCAGAAACUAGAGGCGACGACCAGAGCUGAUGACUCAGAUCAACGAACUAUCAGCACAUGCAUUAAUAAAAACACCCAGGAAGAGUGAAUCUCCAAAAAUAAGGACAUAAUUUAAGAGAAAUAAUAAGCCUAUCAACAACCCCAAUAUCUAAUGUGUAUAUGAGGGAAGAGGACCCCAGGAAGGAAACCACUAAGGAAUCAUUAUAAAGAUGUGAAAAGAACCAAGAAGUGGUGUCAGGGAAGCUGACAGACAACAGGAACCGAGUGACUGAUCUCAAAUGUGCCCAUACUAAGUAAAAAUCAGCUUUGUUUUACAAGUCUUACUUCCCUAAAUAGACUAUUCACUUCUUUGCCUCAGAUUAUCUGAUUUUAUUUCUUUGUAUCAUUUAUAGUCCCAAUGUGGUAUCUUCCUCAUGGGGGAAGCCCUCAAAAACAGUUGUGAGAAUAAGCAUUAAUUUGCAUCAACAAAUACCAACCAUACUCUCCAAAAUGAGAUUUUGAAACUGUGAUAAAAAUGAAAGUUAUACUUAUCUU